rnacentral:lncRNA from 1 species
AUAGUGUAUAAGCCCAAUUUCGCCUGAGCCCACUACCCAAUAAACUUAGCCCAAUACACCACAACCCAUACCAGAAAAUAAACCAAAUAAUGAACAGCCCGUUUACAAACUUUAACCCAAUGACAGACCCUAACCCAACUACCACAAGCCCAAACCCGGAGCCCAAUACCAGGCCCAACAGAGCCAGAAACCAAAGUCGGCAUAAGGUUUCAGAAACUGAAACCCUAAGCGCUGCCCCUGCUUCAGACUGUUGGUCUCCUAAGCGCCGCCUGCUUUAGACUUUUGGUCUUCUACCACCACCGCCGCGCAUCUGUCACCGCUUCUGUACCAUCCACCGUCGCCCAUCAAUCUUCUGCAGAAAGAAAAAGAACACGCAAGCAGCAAGAUAAUAGAAAAAUAGGAGCAGAUCGGCUAUAAAAAGCUGAGCCCCAUCUCUGUAUUUUUUUCUUCUUCUUUUUUACAACAUUUUGAAUACAAAAAAAGCAGAUCAAAAAAAGAACAAAAAGGUUGAUUCCAAAAUUCUUCUUUCUGUUCUUGUAUAUUAUCUUAUUUUUUUAUUCUCUGUUUUUUUUUGCAAUUUUUUUUCACUAUUCUUUUAAACUACAAACGAAACGAAAGAGAAAAGAAAAAGGAUACUUACCGGUCUCGAAAGCCCGUCGCCGGAGACAUCUUCUGUGUUGAAAUCGGAUCAAAAAAUGGACGAAAGGUCUCUCCUUUUUCGGCUUGUUGGGUCUGAAGGAUCGGGUCUUAGAGUGGGGAUCGAAAACGGGGUUAAAAACCCCUCUUUUUCUCGCUCUAACCAUCGCCCAUGACGGAGCCUCGGCCCCUGCUAGGCCGUUCACCGGCGGGGACAAUGGCCGAUUUCUGGGUUUGUUAAAAGGGGGGGAGAGGAUUUUGCUUUUUUUUUUUAAGUUGAGACAGAAAAUGAAGUUAAAUAUAUAUAUAUAUUUGGUUUAAAUAACCAUUUUGAAACGGCGC